rnacentral:lncRNA from 1 species
UCUGAGCCUCCUUUCUGGCGGGCGGCCUUGAGCGGCAGCCUCAUGAGAAGACUGGCCCAGCAGAGGGCUGGGAGCAGAGGCAGGAGCUGAGAUCAGAAAGGUGCCUGGAGAAGGGUCUGGGGGAGUGGCCCAUGAGCUCAGCCAUUCUCACGGGGCUGUCCUGGCUCCAGGGGCCUCUGGCAAAGCCCAAGACAUUUUUGCCUGUCCGUGCUCGGGCAGAGGUGCUGCUGGCCCCUGGUGCGUGGAGUGGAAUGCCAAUCAACAGGACGCCACGAG